UACGGAGGGUGCAAGCGUUAUCCGGAUUUACUGGGUUUAAAGGGUGCGUAGGUGGAUUUGUAAGUCAGUGGUGAAAUCUCCGGGCUUAACCCGGAAACUGCCAUUGAUACUAUAAGUCUUGAAUUAUCUGGAGGUAAGCGGAAUAUGUCAUGUAGCGGUGAAAUGCUUAGAUAUGACAUAGAACACCAAUUGCGAAGGCAGCUCACUACGGAUAUAUUGACACUGAGGCACGAAAGCGUGGGGAUCAAACAGG
rnacentral:rRNA from 1 species